AACAGGUCUUCGGAUGCUGACGAGUGGCGCACGGGUGCGUAACGCGUACACAAUCUACCUUUAAGUGGGGUAUAGCCUUGGGAAACUGAGAAUAAUCCCCCAUAGUAUUAUUGGAUCGCAUGGUUUGGUAAUUAAAGAUUUAUUGCUUAGAGAUGAGUGUGCGUUUGAUUAGGUAGUAGGUGAGGUAACGGCUCACCUAGCCAACGAUCAAUAACUGGUCUGAGAGGAUGAUCAGUCACACGGGAACUGAGACACGGUCCCGACUCCUACGGGAGGCAGCAGUAGGGAAUAUUGGGCAAUGGAGGCAACUCUGACCCAGCCACGCCGCGUGGAGGAUGAAGGUGCUAUGCAUCGUAAACUUCUUUUGUCAAGGGAGAAAGUGCGUGAUUUUUCACGUUUUGACGGUACUUGGCGAAUAAGCAUCGGCUAACUACGUGCCAGCAGCCGCGGUAAUACGUAGGAUGCAAGCGUUAUCCGGAAUCACUGGGUUUAAAGGGUCUGUAGGCGGUUUAAUAAGUCAGUGGUGAAAUAUCUGGGCUCAACUUGGAGGGUGCCAUUGAUACUGUUAAACUUGAGAUAGAAUGACGUGGGCGGAAUGUGUCAUGUAGCG
rnacentral:rRNA from 1 species